UACAGAGGGGGCGAGCGUUGUUCGGAAUUACUGGGCGUAAAGGGCGCGUAGGCGGCCUCUUAAGUCGAACGUGAAAUCCCCGGGCUCAACCCGGGAACUGCGUCCGAUACUGGGGGGCUUGAAUCCGGGAGAGGGAUGUGGAAUUCCAGGUGUAGAGGUGAAAUUCGCAGAUAUCGGGAGGAACACCAAUGGCGAAGGCAGCUUGCUGGGACGGUACUGACGCUGAGGCGCGAAAGCGUGGGUAGCAAACAGG
rnacentral:rRNA from 1 species